UGAACGCUGGCGGCGUGCCUAAUACAUGCAAGUCGAGCGAACGGACGAGAAGCUUGCUUCUCUGAUGUUAGCGGCGGACGGGUGAGUAACACGUGGAUAACCUACCUAUAAGACUGGGAUAACUUCGGGAAACCGGAGCUAAUACCGGAUAAUAUUUUGAACCGCAUGGUUCAAAAGUGAAAGACGGUCUUGCUGUCACUUAUAGAUGGAUCCGCGCUGCAUUAGCUAGUUGGUAAGGUAACGGCUUACCAAGGCAACGAUGCAUAGCCGACCUGAGAGGGUGAUCGGCCACACUGGAACUGAGACACGGUCCAGACUCCUACGGUAGGCAGCAGUAGGGAAUCUUCCGCAAUGGGCGAAAGCCUGACGGAGCAACGCCGCGUGAGUGAUGAAGGUCUUCGGAUCGUAAAACUCUGUUAUUAGGGAAGAACAUAUGUGUAAGUAACUGUGCACAUCUUGACGGUACCUAAUCAGAAAGCCACGGCUAACUACGUG
rnacentral:rRNA from 1 species